ACAUGGAUAACCGUGACAAAUUACAGCUAAUACAUGCAAUCAGACCUCGUCCAAGGGUCGUAAUUAUUAGAUAUUAAACCUCUUCCUAUGGGAGUGUGAUGAAUCAUAGUAAUCGAACGAAUCGCAUAGUAAUGCGAUAAAUCAUUCAAGUUUCUGCCCUAUCAGCUUUGGAUGGUAGUGUAUUGGACUACCAUGGCAGUCACGGGUAACGGAGAAUUAGGGUUCGAUUCCGGAGAGGGAGCCUGAGAAACGGCUACCACAUCUACGGAAGGCAGCAGGCGCGAAAAUUGCCCAAUCCUGAUACAGGGAGGCAGUGACAAGAAAUAACUACCCUAGGAUUUCUUAGGAGUGUAAUGAGGAUAAUUUACAAACCUUACCGAAAGCAAUU
rnacentral:rRNA from 1 species